AGCCUGAACGCUGGCGGCGUGGCUAAGACAUGCAAGUCGUACGGACCCGCAAGGGUCAGUGGCGAACGGGUGAGUAAUGAAUCGCUAAUGUGCCCCGGACUCAGGGAUAGCUACUCGAAAGGGUAGGUAAUACCUGAUGACAUAACCUUGUCGCAUGGCAGGGUUCUCAAAGGUCCGCCGGUCUGGGAGCAGGCGAUUUCGUAUCAGCUAGUUGGUGAGGUAACGGCUCACCAAGGCGACGACGCGUAGCCGGACUGAGAGGUUGGCCGGCCACAUUGGGACUGAGACACUGCCCAGACUCCUACGGGGGGCUGCAGUAACGAAUCUUCCGCAAUGCACGAAAGUGUGACGGAGCGACGCCGCGUGUGGACGAAGUCCUUGGGAUGUAAACCACUGUCGAGGGUUACCAAGUUCUGAGGAGCCCCAGAGGAAGCACGGCUAACUCUGUGCCAGCAGCCGC
rnacentral:rRNA from 1 species